rnacentral:rRNA from 1 species
AGCAGCCGCGGUAAUUCCAGCUCCAAUAGCGUAUAUUAAAGUUGUUGCAGUUAAAAAGCUCGUAGUUGAAUUUCGGGAUCAAUAUGUUGGUCGUGCCUCGGUACGUACUAGCUUAUUGGUUUCUCCUUUCUGAAGAACCAUGAUGUCAUUUAUUUGGUGUCGUGGGGAAUCAGGACUGUUACUUUGAAAAAAUUAGAGUGUUUAAAGCAGGCUCACGCUUGAAUACAUUAGCAUGGAAUAAUGAAAUAGGACGUUUGAUUCUAUUUUGUUGGUUUUUAGGAUCGACGUAAUGAUUAAUAGGGAUAGUUGGGGGCAUUAGUAUUCAAUUGUCAGAGGUGAAAUUCUUGGAUUUAUUGAAGACUAACUACUGCGAAAGCAUUUGCCAAGGAUGUUUUCAUUAAUCAAGAACGAAAGUUAGGGGAUCGAAGACGAUCAGAUACCGUCGUAG